rnacentral:rRNA from 1 species
AGUCGAACGAGAACGGAUUAUAGCUUGCUAUAAUUGUCAGCUAAGUGGCGCACGGGUGAGUAAUGUAUAGAUAACCUGCCCUUAAGAAAGGAAUAACAGUUGGAAACGACUGCNAAUGCCCUAUAUGCCUUUAAUACAUAAGUAUGCAAGGGAAACGCUUUAGUGCUUAAGGAUGGGUCUGUAUGGUAUCAGCUUGUUGGUGAGGUAAUGGCUCACCAAGGCUAUGACGCCUAACUGGUUUGAGAGGAUGAUCAGUCACACUGGAACUGAGACACGGUCCAGACUCCUACGGGAGGCAGCAGUGGGGAAUAUUGCACAAUGGACGAAAGUCUGAUGCAGCAACGCCGCGUGGAGGAUGACACAUUUCGGUGCGUAAACUCCUUUUAUAUAGGAAGAUAAUGACGGUACUAUAUGAAUAAGCACCGGCUAACUCCGUGCCA